UACGAAGGGGGCUAGCGUUGCUCGGAAUUACUGGGCGUAAAGGGAGCGUAGGCGGACAGUUUAGUCAGAGGUGAAAGCCCAGGGCUCAACCCUGGAAUUGCCUUUGAUACUGAUUGUCUUGAGUAUGGGAGAGGUGUGUGGAACUCCGAGUGUAGAGGUGAAAUUCGUAGAUAUUCGGAAGAACACCAGUGGCGAAGGCGACACACUGGCCCAUUACUGACGCUGAGGCUCGAAAGCGUGGGGAGCAA
rnacentral:rRNA from 1 species